rnacentral:rRNA from 1 species
AGUGAACGCUGGCGGUAGGCCUAACACAUGCAAGUCGAACGGCAGCACAGUAAGAGCUUGCUCUUACGGGUGGCGAGUGGCGGACGGGUGAGGAAUACAUCGGAAUCUACUUUUUCGUGGGGGAUAACGUAGGGAAACUUACGCUAAUACCGCAUACGACCUACGGGUUAAAGCAGUGGAUCUUCGGACCUUGCGCGAUUGAAUUAGCCGAUGUCGGAUUAGCUAGUUGGCGGGGUAAAGGCCCACCAAGGCUACGAUCCGUAGCUGGUCUGAGAGGAUGAUCAGCCACACUGGAACUGAGACACGGUCCAGACUCCUACGGGAGGCAGCAGUGGGGAAUAUUGGACAAUGGGCGCAAGCCUGAUCCAGCCAUACCGCGUGGGUGAAGAAGGCCUUCGGGUUGUAAAGCCCUUUUGUUGGGAAAGAAAAGCAGCAGGUUAAUACCCCGCUGUUCUGACGGUACCCAAAGAAUAAGCACCGGCUAACUUCGUG